AUGACAGAGAACAGUGGACACACAGUUUAACAUGAUGGACUAUAGGACAGGACUGCUGCUGUUAACUAUCUGCUGGGCAGGUGUUAAUGGUCAGACUCUAACAGAAUCUGAACCAGUGGUUAAAAGGCCUGGAGAAUCUCACAGAUUGACCUGUACAGCCUCUGGAUUCACAUUCAGUGACCACAGCAUGCACUGGAUCAGACAGGCUCCUGGAAAAGGACUGGAGUGGAUCGCUUAUAUCAGAUAUGACAGUAGCUACAUCUACUACUCUCAGUCAGUUCAAGGCCGGUUUACCAUCUCCAGAGACAACAGCAGACAGCAGGUGUAUCUGCAGAUGAACAGUCUGAAGACUGAAGAUUCUGCUGUUUAUUAUUGUGCUCGACACCCACAGUGACUGGAGUUGGUUGAGCAGCUGU